UGUGUGUGUGUGUGUGUGUGUGUGUAUCCCCAAGGGGAUAACAGAGACAAUACAGAGAAAGCAUUAUGUAGGGCAAAGGUGUAAGUAUGAGAAGUUGUAAGAGCAAAACAAACAAUGACAAAAACAUUGAGGUUUGUUCUUUUGCUUAUUUUCUCCUGAAAAUCUGCCUAAUUCUACAGAAGGAUACGCUCACAGGUUACAGCUCAGUUUCACUUUCCUCCUCUCAUUCAGGAUCCCAUCCAGUCUACCAAAAUUGUAGGAAAACUCCUGCUGUAAUUUAUAACAGACUGUAAAAGAAUCAACUGACAUUUCUUUAAGAUGAAAAAUAAUUUUUCCAAAAAUCUUUUAACUUCAUCUUCACCACUACCAGGACUGUGAAUUUAUUUAUUAAUUUCCUCCUGCAAAUGAUUUCUAUUUUAAACUUAUCCAGUGUAUUGGGAAAGUUCUCUUUCUAAGUGAAGCAAUUCAAAACAUAAGUGAGCAGGGAGAGGAAAAUGGUAGUUAUGCACAAAGAGAUGUGUGCGUGUGUGUGUGUGUGUGUGUGUGUGUGUCUGAGUGAGCGGGUAGUGAAUCCCUUUGAGAGGAAAUCAGGAAAGGAUUGCUUGUGAGAGAACCUCAGGCUCAUGGUAAGCCCCACCCUAAAAACAUACGAUCAUUUUUUAUAAAUAAUACGUAUUGAUGUUUACAUAUUGAUGCUUAACUCUAAUAUGCCCCAUGGUUCAUAUUAUGGUUUAUUUCCUUAAUGCUUCUUGAGUCUUUUCCUCCAUUAGACUGUAAAACCUGAUUUCUUUUCUUUGGAAAAAUCAUCAAAUCCAGUAUUAUACAUAUAGGAUCUAGGUAACAAAUUUUGACCAACUGAAUUAUUGUCCCAUUUCAAUCUAACAAUUGUAUUCUCUAAAGGGGUUAUAAAUAGAGUUUGAUAUCAGGUAUCUGGAUGCCAUCAGCCCCCAAAAUAGGUAUAGGAAUAAUGUUAAUAAAUGGAAUAUUUGGCUGUAUUCAUGCCAUGGAAUUUCUCUCUUGCUUCACCCACCUCUGGCUUCCAGACAUCUAAGCAGAUGGAGUACUUUUUCUAAGUUUGAAAGUUAAUAUUAAAACUGAUAUAAAAAUACAGUAAUAGUUUUCAGGUUAAAUAUUUCUCAGACAAAGUAGGAAAUCAUUUUUAUCCAACACAUGACUCGAUACAGUAUUUUCUAACAAGGAAUUUUCCUGUGAACGAGUAAAAGAGAUUUGGAAUUUGUUGCCCUUCGUAAAUCAGCUCUCCAAACAUGGAAUUCUAUUUUUCAAAAUUAAGCCAAGAAAAUAAAAUCUACCAAAAAGAAGGCAUAUUGAUUAUUGCUGUUCCUAUGUAAUAUUCUGAAAUAUUGCUCACUGAGGUUUGAAUACCUAACUCUAUAGUUACCUUUUCUCUUUUUUCUGUUUUAUGGGUUGCAGUGAAAGAACACAUGCUUUAAACAGUUGAGAAAAACUAAGGAUUACAGUGACGCCAAGCAAGGGCCAAGAUGUGGUCAAAACUUUGUGCUAACCUGCCCUGAAGUUGCCUAUUUCCAGCUUGGCCAUUUCUCUCUGUCUUGCCUCAGUGAACUCCGACUUUCCUUGACCGUUAACCCCUAACUGGAAUGCACAAGGCCUGGACGCCUCUGUGGGCCCCGAUUCACCUCUCGCAAUGAGCUUCCCUUCCUGGCACUGAACUGCAAGGCAAUAUUUUCCAUCUGUUGAGUGAAGAGCAUGACACAGGCAGCUGGAUAUGGUUUUGGAGCCCAGGGCAAACCAACGAUGCACAGCUCACUUUUAUUCCACAAGCCUGUGGGAGCCCAAAGAGAUAAGAGGCCUUUCUGCUAGGCUGAACACAGAGCCUGGCAUUCAGAAACAAACCCUCCUUCCUGAAAUACUCAAUAUGUUUUUUAUUCAAGCCAGAAACAUUGUGGGUUGGAAUAAUCUAAGGAUGAAUCUAAUCUGAAGUUAUCUUGAAACGUGAAAACAGAAUUCAUAAAAGGCUGAGACACUUGCUCAAGGUCAGCCAAUGCUACGCGGUCAAAGUGGAAUUUAAACCUGAAUGUGCCUGAUUAAAAAAGCCCAAUUCUUGGGAGGCAGAAGACCUACACAGACAUUUCUCAAAAGAAGACACACAGAUGUCCAACAGACACAUGAAAAGAUGCUCAAUAUCACUAAUCAUUAGAGAAAUGCAAAUCAAAACCACAAUGAGGUACCACCUCACACCGGUCAGAACGGCCAUCAUUAAAAAGUCUACAAAUAAUAAAUGCUGGGGGCUUCCCUGGUGGCGCAGUGGUUGAGAGUCCGCCUGCCGAUGCAGGGGACACGGGUUCAUGCCCCGGUCUGGGAAGAUCCCACAUGCCGCGGAGCGGCUGGGCCUGUGAGCCAUGGCCGCUGAGCCUGUGUGUCUGGAGCCUGUGCUCCAAAACGAGAGAGGCCACAACAGUGAGAGGCCCGUGUACCGCAAAAAAAAUAAUAAUAAUAAAAAAAUAAUAAUAAAUGCUGGAGAGGAUGUGGAGAAAAGGGAGCCUGCCUACACUGGGAAUGUAAAUUGGUGCAGCCACUAUGAAAAACAUUAUGGAGUUUCCUUAAAAAACUAAAAAUAGAGUUGCCAUUUGAUUCUGCAAUCCCACUCCUUGGCAUAUAUCCAGAGGAAUCUAUAAUUCGAAAAGAUACAUGCAACCCCCCAAUGUUCAUAACAGCACUAUUUACAAUAGCCGAGACAUGGAAGCAACCUAAGUGUUCAUCAACCGAUGAAUGGAUAAAGAAGAUGUGGUACAAAUAUACAAUGGAAUAUUAUUCAGCCAUAAAAAGAAUGAAAUAAUGCCAUUUGCAGCAACGUGGAUGGACCUAGAGAUCAUGAUACUAAGUGAAGUAAGUCAGAAAGAGAAUGACAAAUACCAUAUGAUACCACUUACAUGUGGAACCUAAAAUAUGGCACAAAUGAACUUAGUUAUGAAACAGAAACAGACUCACUGACAUAGAAAACAAGCUUAUGGUUACCAAAGGGGAAAGGGAGGGGGGGAGGGAUAAAUUAGGAGUUUGGGAUUAGCAGAUAUAAACUACUAUAUAUAAAAUAGAUAAACAACAAGGACCUACCGUAUAGCACAAGGAACUAUAUUCAAUAUCCUGUAAUAAACUAUAAUGGAAAAGAGUAUGAAAAAUAAUAUAUAUAUGUAUAACUGAAUCACUGUGCAGUACACCAGAAACUAACACAACAUUGUAAAUCAACUGUACUUCAAAAAAAUAAAUUAAAAAGCCCAAUUUUCUUUUUCUCUGUUCUAGCUUUGUGGGCGUUUUUGCGGACAUGCACCAACUGCUGGGUCUGAUCUUAAUCUCUCUAGGCUCCAGUGCAUCUCAUUCGGUACUGAUACUGCCAAUGAAUUUUAUCGGACUACAUCCAAUUCACAAAAACUUGGUCAAGUUUAUAGAAAAAUGUAAUACAAAACUGCCAGUGGUUUUGUUUAGAUAUCUGUCUCAGAUUCCACAAUUGUUAGAUAUGAAAUAAUUCCAAUAUAUGCACACAAAGUACUCAGCCAUGUAAGGUUUAUGUGCGCAUGUAUAAGUGUGUGGUAUAAUCAUCCACUGAUUUUCAGAUAAAAGACAAUUUAUUCUUUUAAUACUUGUCACUCACUGUUUCUCUCAUUUAUUGAAUUCUUUAUGCUAAUUUUGGUAAUUAAAAAGAAUCUGAAUUUUCGCCUGUUAAAUGACCUUUAUUUUGCUAAUAUUUGGUUAGGAAAAGGCAUUUGCUUAUUAUUUUUUUCUCAUCCUUAGAAUUUUUCAUGAAUUGUUUUAUAAAAUUUAGGUGAGAUUUAUUUGCAAUAAGCAUCGAGCCAUGUUCCUUGUAAACAAAUAAGACCAAGGUCUUUGAGAACCUAAAUGUACUAAUGAAGAAUAUUGGGGGGAAAUAACUUGCCAACCAUAACCUUGGAACCAAAAAAUGUUACAAAAUUUUCUCUGUUCAAAGUUUAUAACAGAACCUGUUGCCUCCAAGGCCAUAAACAAUUAUGAUUAUGGUUACAUACUCACUUAAUACAUUUAUUUGUCCUUUUAAAGUUUGAUUAACAAAAAUGUACCUUUACCAAUUUCAGUGUGUGUGUGUGUGUGUGUGUGUGUGUGUGUGUGUGUGUAAGAAGGAGAGGUAUUGAAUUGUUGAAAAAUUCACAAUAUUUUGGUUCUUUUCCACUUUAAAAUGCCACCAAAUUUACAUAGACCAUCAAAGUUUAGUAUCCUUCCAAGUAUAAAUUUUGGACAGUGUCACUUGAUAAUAAAAUACUUAUGUAUAAGAUGCAGUCUACCAUUAAAAAACCUGUAGUCUAUUUUGUGUACAUAUGUAAUUAUUGAAAGAGAAAAUGUUUCCCCUGGCUCCAA